CAAACGACUCUCGGCAACGGAUAUCCCGGCUCUCGCAUCGAUGAAGAACGUAGCGAAAUGCGAUACUUGGUGUGAAUUGCAGAAUCCCGUGAACCAUCGAGUUUUUGAACGCAAGUUGCGCCCGAUGUCAUUAGGCUGAGGGCACGUCUGCCUGGGUGUCACGU
rnacentral:rRNA from 3 species